AAGUCGUAACAAGGUUUCCGUAGGUGAACCUGCGGAAGGAUCAUUAACACAUUGUCCAUUUGAUGAUAGUGAUUGUCUUUUAUUCUGAGUGUCAUAAUUCGGAUGAAGCAGUCCUAUCAUUCAAACCACUUAGCGAAUGAGUUGAAGUCCUCAUUAUUAAUUAACUUUAAUAAUUUAGUGGAAUAAAACUAUGUAAUCACGUUUAAUGAAUUUAGAAAUGAAUUCAUUCGACUAAUGUUUACUUCAAAAAAACAAAAUAUAACCAAGACAACUUGUAACAGUGGAUACCUUGGUUCCCAG
rnacentral:misc_RNA from 1 species